AUUGAAACAGCGGUUCCCAUACCGAAGUUAAGCCACGUCGAACCUGGUCAGUACCUAGAUGGGUGACCGCUUGGGAAUACUAGGCGCUGUAAG